rnacentral:rRNA from 1 species
UACGUAGGGUGCGAGCGUUGCCCGGAUUUAUUGGGCGUAAAGGGCGCGUAGGCGGCUCUGCACGUCCGUUGUGAAAUCGCCCGGCUCAACUGGGCGGGGUCAGCGGAUACGGCGGAGCUUGAGCAAGCUAGGGGGCAAUGGAAUUCCCGGUGUAGUGGUGGAAUGCGUAGAGAUCGGUAGGAACACCAGUGGCGAAGGCGGUCUCCUGGGGCAUACUUGACGCUGAGGCGCGAAAGCUGGGGGAGCGAACGGG